rnacentral:rRNA from 1 species
GAUGAACGCUGGCGGCGUGCCUAAUACAUGCAAGUCGAGCGAACAGAUGCUGAGCUUGUUCCUUUGACGUUUGCGGCGGACGGGUGAGUCACACGUGGAUAACCUCCUUAUAUGUCUGGGAUCACUUCGGGAAACCGGAGCUAAUCCCAGAUGAUAUAUUGAACCGUAUGGUUCAAUAGUGAAUGACGGUUUUGCUGUCAGUUCUCGAUGGUUCCGCGCCGCAUUAGCUAGUUGGUACGGUAACGGCUUACCAAGGCUACGAUGCGUAGCCGACCGGAGAGGGUGAUCGGCCACACGGGAACUGAGACACGGUCCAGACGCCUACGGGAGGCAGCAGUAGGGAAUCUGCGGCAGUGGGCGAAAGCCUGACGGAGCAACGCCGCGUGAGUGAUGAAGGUCUUCGGAUCGUAAAACUCUGUUAUUAGUGAAGAACAAAUGUGUAAGGAACUAUGCACGUAGUGACGGUACCUAAUCAGAAAGCCACGGCUAACUACGUG